AGUGGAAUUGCUGGGUCAUAUGUUAAUUCUGCUUAACUUUUUGAGGAACCACCAAACUGUUUUCCACAGUGGUUAUACCAUUUUAAAAUCCCACCAGCAAU
rnacentral:pre_miRNA from 1 species